rnacentral:rRNA from 1 species
UGGGGAAUUUUGCACAAUGGGGGAAACCCUGAUGCAGCGACGCCGCGUGAUUUAGAAGGCCUUCGGGUUGUAAAAAUCUUUUCUCUGGGAAGAAAAUGACAGUACCAUAGGAAUAAGGACCGGCUAAUUACGUGCCAGCAGCUGCGGUAAUACGUAAGGUCCGAGCGUUGUCCGGAAUCAUUGGGCGUAAAGGGUACGUAGGCGGGUAAGCAAGUUAGAAGUGAAAUCCUAUAGCUCAACUAUAGUAAGCUUUUAAAACUGCUCAUCUUGAGGUAUGGAAAGGAAAGUAGAAUUCCUAGUGUAGCGGUGAAAUGCGCAGAUAUUAGGAGGAAUACCGGUGGCGAAGGCGACUUUCUGGCCAUAACCUGACGCUGAGGUACGAAAGCGUGGGUAGCAAACAGG